GCAACGUCAUGUGUAUUACGGCAUGAAGGUUGUAGAAAUACCAUUUAGCCUCGUGUCAAAGCGUGCUACAUCAAAAAUAUUGUUUUUGAUUGCCUUUGUAGGCGAACGAGCAAGCGGUCCGCCUGAUCGUAAGCAGCAUCUGUCGCUCAUGGACUAAAGCAAUGCCAAAGGCACAGCUAAGCCGUUGUCUAUCGUAAGGUUGGCAUUUUUAAGCCUCGUUUAAAGAAGGACAAGUCAUAGCACUCGAAGAAUACCGAUGCAGGAAGUUGUUACCUGUUUUGUGAGUAUGCUGAAACAAUGUCAACGAGCACGCUUUUUAUUGUCAAGAGAAGCAAGUAACCCUUCUGGGAAUAGGAAAGGUCAAGUCAAAAGUAUCCAGGACUGGCGGGAAUGCAUGAAAAAAUUGAUGAAGGUGGAGGAAGCGAGAGAAGUAUGCCAGAAUCGUGCAAAAUGGCAAUCCAUAGUCUGCCUGCCCCUAUGGGAUAUAGGCGUGAUACAAUGUAUGUGUAAAUUUAUAUUUAAUAAAAAUGUUAUAUGUAAUUUCGACUACUAAUAAAUAUAAAUCAGUGUCAACAUAACAAAUAAUCUAGAAUACGAAAGUUUUAUGCAAUAUCUUUAAGCAAUAAAUAGUUGUAUUUACACCUAU